GAGUUUGAUCGUGGCUCAGAUUGAACGCUGGCGGCAUGCCUUACACAUGCAAGUCGAACGGCAGCAUGAUCUAGCUUGCUAGAUUGAUGGCGAGUGGCGAACGGGUGAGUAAUACAUCGGAACGUGCCCUGUAGUGGGGGAUAACUAGUCGAAAGAUUAGCUAAUACCGCAUACGACCUGAGGGUGAAAGUGGGGGACCACAAGGCCUCAUGCUAUAGGAGCGGCCGAUGUCUGAUUAGCUAGUUGGUGGGGUAAAGGCCCACCAAGGCGACGAUCAGUAGCUGGUCUGAGAGGACGAUCAGCCACACUGGGACUGAGACACGGCCCAGACUCCUACGGGAGGCAGCAGUGGGGAAUUUUGGACAAUGGGCGAAAGCCUGAUCCAGCAAUGCCGCGUGUGUGAAGAAGGCC
rnacentral:rRNA from 1 species